CAGACCAACAGGGAUUGCCCUAGUAACGGCGAGUGAAGCGGCAACAGCUCAAAUUUGAAAUCUGGCGUCUUUGGCGUCCGAGUUGUAAUUUGCAGAGGGCGCUUUGGCAUUGGCAGCGGUCCAAGUUCCUUGGAACAGGACGUCACAGAGGGUGAGAAUCCCGUACGUGGUCGCUAGCCUUUACCGUGUAAAGCCCCUUCGACGAGUCGAGUUGUUUGGGAAUGCAGCUCUAAAUGGGAGGUAAAUUUCUUCUAAAGCUAAAUACUGGCCAGAGACCGAUAGCGCACAAGUAGAGUGAUCGAAAGAUGAAAAGCACUUUGGAAAGAGAGUUAAAAAGCACGUGAAAUUGUUGAAAGGGAAGCGCUUGCAGCCAGACUUGCCUGUAGUUGCUCAUCCGGGUUUCUACCCGGUGCACUCUUCUAUAGGCAGGCCAGCAUCAGUUUGGGCGGUUGGAUAAAGGUCUCUGUCAUGUACCUCCUUUCGGGGAGAACUUAUAGGGGAGACGACAUGCAACCAGCCUGGACUGAGGUCCGCGCAUCUGCUAGGAUGCUGGCGUAAUGGCUGUAAGCGGCCCGUCUUGAAACACGGACCAAGGAGUCUAACAUCUAUGCGAGUGUUUGGGUGUCAAGCCCGAGCGCGUAAUGAAAGUGAACGGAGGUGGGAACCUUUCGGGGUGCACCAUCGACCGAUCCUGAUGUCUUCGGAUGGAUUUGAGUAAGAGCAUAGCUGUUGGGACCCGAAAGAUGGUGAACUAUGCUUGAAUAGGGUGAAGCCAGAGGAAACUCUGGUGGAGGCUCGCAGCGGUUCUGACGUGCAAAU
rnacentral:rRNA from 1 species